AGAGUUUGAUCAUGGCUCAGGACGAACGCUGGCGGCGUGCUUAACACAUGCAAGUCAAGGGGGCGGAGCAAUCCGCAACCGGCGAACGGGCGCGUAACACGUGAGCAACCUGCCCACUUCUGGGGGAUAGCCGGCCCAACGGCCGGGUAAUACCGCAUACGUUACCUCGGGGGCAUCUCCGGGGUGGGAAAGCAGUGAUGCGGAGGUGGAGGGGCUCGCGGCCUAUCAGCUAGUUGGUGCGGUCACGGCGCACCAAGGCGACGACGGGUAGCUGGUCUGAGAGGAUGGCCAGCCACAUUGGGACUGAGAGACGGCCCAGACUCCUACGGGAGGCAGCAGUGGGGAAUCUUGCGCAAUGGCCGAAAGGCUGACGCAGCGACGCCGCGUGUGGGAGGACGCCCUUCGGGGUGUAAACCACUGUUGCCCGGGACGAACCCCUGGAUUCAUCCAGGUUGACGGUACCGGGUGAGGAAGCACCGGCUAACUCCGUGCCAGCAGCCGCGGUAAUACGGAGGGUGCGAGCGUUGUCCGGAAUCACUGGGCGUAAAGGGCGCGUAGGCGGCUUCUUAAGCGUGUGGUGAAAGCUCGGGGCUCAACCCCGAGUCGGCCAUGCGAACUGGGGAGCUCGAGCCCACUAGAGGCAGGCGGAAUUCCGGGUGUAGCGGUGGAAUGC
rnacentral:rRNA from 1 species